CCGAGGAGGGCUGGGCAGCCACGUGACCAUGUUGGCGAGGGAGCGCCUUACUCCAGCAGGGACAGGAUUGCUGAGGAUUGUGCAAGGUUGAGGUCAAAUGGGGAAGAUGAUGCAUGACAAACCCAUGUCUGCAGAGCAUGGCUAGGCUGCAGAGGGGCUAGUGAGGCCCAUUCCCGCUCAGCUCCAGUAACUGGCCGGUGGCUCUCAGUGAGGACCCUGCUCCUUGGGAGUACCCAUGAAGGGAAGAAGAAACCUGGAGAUGACGACUCACUCCAGAUACUGUUGCAUCAAGAAGACGUUCUUUCAUCGGAAUUUGAGAGCCAUUAGUGAUGUUUUGAGGGCAGAGUUUUGAUUCACUUACAGCUAUGAAUAAUAAAGACUGAUAAUACAGAAACGAUCUCUUCACAGGAAGAGACUCCCAGGAAGAGCUACUUGGAGCAAGUGUUCAAGCUCCUAGCAUGGUUGGAGACCCAGGCUGCUCCAAGAUUUUGGGUUUGUGUUCCAAUGCAUCACGUUCAUGCUCACAGUUACCUCAGGGUUCACAGUGGCUGCCAGGCUCCUUCCACUGCCCCUGCAUUCCAGGCUCAUCAAGGGUGAAAGAAGGAGCAGCAAGCGGGUUGUUCAGCUCAGCUGGGCGGCGUUCCCAGCAGUCUCUGGUGAGUUACGUCAUUGGCCAGAACUCAGCAAGAUGCUGACCCUGUUGUUCUGGAUGGUGCAACAGCCCGUUGGAAGAGUUCUCUUAAUAGGAGAAUAUGGCUGGAUCUUGAGAGCUCAAGAUCUGCAAGCCACAGACAACAGAAUGGAAAGCAGGGAACUGAAAUCUAAGGGUUGCUUUCCACAUCAUGAGAGCCCCACAGCACCGCUGGCAUGAAGCACCCCGACACCAAGCUCAGAAACACGGAGCCACAGCUCUAGUUCAUGUGCUCUGAGAGAGGGCGAUUUAUCGGGCAGUUUGUACCGUUCUCAGGGCAGAGCUCUGGACUCCUCUGCCGCCUCCACCCAGCAGGGAUUUGGUCAUCUCCUUAAGUGUGACCUCAUAGUUUCAUUUAAAAGGAGUUUUCCUAAUACGUUGAAAAAAAAAAAAUACAGUUGAAUCAUGGCAUGACCCUGUUGUGUAAAGCGAGAUAUCUGGUCCCGUUUCCCUGUGGCUGCGGGUUCUGGGUUGGAGGGCCAAGCGGUACAAAGCCGCUUCUUUCAUGAAGACCGCUGCCUUUUUCUUUAUUUCCAAAGUGGC
rnacentral:lncRNA from 1 species